GAUUACUUAUACCUAAUACAAUGUGAUACUAGUAAAUAAUUGUAAAUUCAAUUUAAAUGCUACAUAAAUAGUUGCCUAUCUGCGGCAAAUUCAAAUUUUGCUUUUUGGAACUUUCCGGAUUUUUUUUUUUUCAGGGAUAAUAUUUUGGUUUAAUCCAUGGAUAUGGAACCUACAGAUAUGGAGGGUGACCAUGAUUAGAAUAUAGGUUUUAUUUAGUUUUAAUGAAAUCUUGUUUUUAUUCAUUUGAUCUGAAAUGUUACCUAUGUAGUUUUGUGUUUGAGGGAAAGUAUAUUUAGUGCUCUAAAAGAACAACAGUGGCAGUAAAUGAUUUGGGAUUAAACUUGUUUAUGAUGUAUGCAAAUAAGUACAAAGUACAUUAAUACAUUAAAUUAGUUAACACAACCAGAAUGAAGUAAGUUCAAAGGGCAGUUUCAUGAAUUUGGUACUAUGGUAGCCAGUGGGACUAUUCUUCAAUACUUCCAGGCAAUGAUUUUGUGCCAUAAAACAUAUGAGCAAGCAGUCCUCUUAGUUAGACUGUAUUUCCCCACAUCUUUAAAAUUAUGUGUGGCCAGAUAACCUGCUUUGGCCAAUGAAAUGUGAGCAGAAUUGAUGAGUACCACUUUCAGGUAAAAGCCUGUAAGGCCAGUACUGCCAGCCUGAGUCCUAAGCAAGGAAAAUGUGAAGUCACAUUCAUUACUAACUUAAUAUAGCAUGAGUCAGAACUAAAAUUGACUUGCUAUAAGACAUUGAGAUUUGGGGAUUGUUUGGUACUGUAGCACAACCUAGAUUAUUCUAACUAAUGUAGGCACCAUUCAUCCAGAAAUUAGAAACCCCAAAUGUCCUUCCUAAAUGUAUCUUCUUUCAUUAUCUCCAUAGUUUUAACCAGAGGUUUGAAUUGACUCUUGUGAUGAUCAGAUAGUGUAGAGGUUGGGAGGUCUGUGCAGUUAGGCUGCUUCUGUUUAAAUACUGGCCAAGCUGCUUUCUACCUGUAAAGAUUUGAAUGAGUUACUUAAUCUUUCUGAGUGUCAACUUCUUCCUUUGGAAAAUGAGGGUAAUUGUAAUAACGUACCUUAAAGGACUAUUGUGAGGUGAAAUAAAAUAAUGUAGAAAAAAUACUUAGCAAAGAGGAUAAUAAUGGUAAGGUCCUGUUGGGGGGAAUGGAGAGUUACUAAUCAGCAGGCAUGAAGCUUCAGCCAAGCAAGGUGAAUGUGCUUUAGGAUCUGCUGUACAGCAUUGCACCUAAUAACAUAUUGUACACUUAAACAUUUGUUAAGAGGGUAGGCCUCACAUUAAGUGUUCCUUCUACAAUAAUAAUUAAACAACACACCUUAGGGAUCAUCCUAUUAUUAUCCAGUGUAUUUGGGACUUCCAACUUUGUGGAACCUAUCUUUUUCAGUCUAAUUGUUCUGAUAACUGAUCAUUAAAGUUCCUUCCAGCUCUAAAACUCUACCCUGCUUUCUGGUCCCUACAUUUCCUCAGGGUAGUUUUAAUUGUGGUUUGAAUUUUGUGGUUAUUUUGGGACUGAUGUUAGCAGAGUUUCUCUGGCUUAGGAAGAAAUCUAUACACCAAAAAAAAUUUUGAUUUAUACUGCUUCAACUUUCUCUUCCUUGGAAAUUCUUCUACAAUCCUGUUUGACUUUGUAGUGUCUUGCAUCUUUCUCAUUCUGGAAUAUAUUUUCCUUUUUGGCUGUUGACACUGAACAACAUAAAUUUUUCCUUUAAUGGACUUGUUCAUGUAUACAGUAAAUAAGAGCAGGACUAGAUCAGUGAAAUUUCCCCAAGAGAUUAGGCAGGUUUUUAGUGGUAAGUAUAUUAAGAUAUGCUAGAGGCACUGAAGAAGGGAGAGGAGAAAAACUUGUUCACAUUAUACCCAAACAUUUUGUACGUACAUAUAUGCGGAGUAUUUCUGAUUUAUUAUGUUUAUUUACCAUUGUUUUCUCUAGAAAAGGGUAUAUUGUCCCCUGAAAAAGUAUCAUUAUUGGCUAAAACUAUUUUGUCCAGUAUAAAAGUGUAAUCUUAAGUAUUUUGUUAGUGUGGUUGGGAUCAAUGACUAUUGCUUUUAAAUGCAGAUGUGGAUUGUGAAGCUGUGAACAGAACUGUGCAAGGAAAAUGGCAUUGUCCACGAUGGAGAAAAAGGCCAAGACCUGUGUCAUAUGUGAGCAGGUAGAGUGCCUUUUCCCUGUGAGGGAGACAACUCCAGAAGCUGGGUCAGAUGUGCGUGGGGCUAGAAAGAAGGGGCAGAAGAAGUAUCCCUAUCCUGCGCUGGAAAGCAAGUGCAAAUGGGGCAAUUCCCUCUUCCUUGCAUCUCUCAGAUCAGGAGAGGAAGACAGUGUGCUGAUGCCCACGAAAAAUCAUGGUCUUAUCAUAAACUCUGUCCGGAAUGCAGCUGGCUUUAUAAAACAGUGGAACUAUGCAAGUAAGAAUCAGUUAUGGUGCCAACUGAAACUCAACGUCUUGAAAGGCUGGGGUGCCAUCACAGAGGUAAGACAUAUCUACCUGUGUUUGAUAUAUGGUGCAGGCCCUUGCAGAAAACAUAGAUCCAGGGACCAAGGUGAGAAAUGGGAAUGCCACUUCUCACAUUUCCGUUUCAUAUUUUAUCUAUGACUUUGGACAAUACUUGUAUUGGAAUUUUAGUACUUGGAGAAGAAAUGCUUCCACCAGAGGAAAUAAUAGAGACUGCUACCCUGAUACUCCAGGUUCCUUUUAGCACUAAGCAGCAAAAUAUAGGUUAUGGAUGAUCCUGGUUAUAGAAGGUUUCUGGUGCAGAGAGGAAUAUGACUUAAAUCCAGAGGAACCUCCUAGAACUUCCCUGUCUAGUCAUAAAUUCAAGGAAGAGUAUAGCAAUUCUCUAUAAUCAAGAACCCCUGAAAUAAAGUUUUAGGUCCCUCCAUAGCAGGAACAUUGGCCAUCUGAAGAGAAGAUAAAGGAAACAGGAUGAGUAGUGGAGGGUGGAAAUAAUAAAUGUUCACUCCAGCUUUCUUACCAGGGAAGUCAUGGUUUGAGAGUAGACAAGAAAAGAGUAGGAAAUAUCUACACUUGCAAGAACAUAAAGGAAACCCUCCAAAGCUUUUCUUUUUCAAACAAAGUAAAACCCAAAGUUGAUUCUGUUUUACAAAAGCCUAUGUAAGUGGGCAGCUGCCUGCCUCUCCCACUUUCUUUCAUUUUCCUCAUUCUAGUGCCCACUGUAUUAACGUCUGUAGGUGAAGUUUAGCCCCCAGGAUUUGUACUAGUUAUUUCCCCACCUGGAAUGCUUUUCCCCUAGAUAUUUACAUGACUUAAUCCCUCACUUCAUUUGGAUCUCUGCUCCAGUGCUCCUUAUCAGUGAAACUUUUCCUGUCCACCUUAUAUAAACAGUACUACCCUAGUACCCCAUUCUCUCUCUCCCUCUCCUUAAACAUGCUUUAGUUUCCAUAGAACUAGGAACUAUAUUGCAUAGUAGAUAUUAGACAUAUAUGUGUUUAUCAUCUGUCCCUCUCCAAUGCAAUAUAAUCUCUACGAGGACAGAGACUUUUUGUUUGUUUAUUAUUGUAUCUUUUUGUUUGUUUAUUAUUGUAUCCACAGAACCUAGAACAGUGGAGAUCCUCAAAUAUUUGUUAAAUACAUGAUUUAAUUAGUCACUUAAUGACAGAGAUAAGAUUUAUUAGCAGGAAAUGGAAAGCUUUGGAAAUCAUAUGAAAUGUUUGGACCUCUCAAAGUUCAGAUAGCAUAAUAAGGCAUAGAACAGAAAAUGUUUUAGAGUUUUAGAUGUUCAGAAUCAUAACAGUCCUUCAGAUGUUCAGAAUCAUACCAGUCACGUAUUCCUGAGAAUGCUUUUACAUCGAUCUCUACUCUUAAGUAACUACCCCAAAACCUCCUUUUGAGUAUCUUCAUUUCCCAGCAAAUUACUGAAUUCUAUGUUUUAAAACCUUUUUCUUCUCCAAGUGGUAUAUCUGGAUUAUCCAGCAGCUACUUCAUGAAGAUGGUGGGAAAGGGCCUGAUAUCUUUGUUAUGGUCUGACACCCUGACUAAUGUGCUCUUUGCUACUGUGUAUCAGUUUUUGAAGAUAUUCUGAAGCUUUUGCUUGAUACUUUGAUUAUCAGAAUGUACCCACUGCUACUCACAUGGCUAGCCCAGGUGAAAGGGAUGUAGCAUUCAGCUAGCUCUUUACUGUCUAUCAGGCCAGUGAAAGUGGGCUUCUUUUUCUACCUGUUCUGUCCAAAGCAUCUGCCGCUUCAAGAUUUGUCCAGAAACUCCUGCUGCUCUUCCAGGCCUCACUGGUUUUCCCUUUGAGCUAAUUGCACAUAUAGAGUUUCUAACUCUAACAUUUAGGCCCUUAAUAAUAUACUGUGAAACAUUCGAUUCCAGCAGAGUUUCAAACUUGUUUCUGCUUCCACAUAAUUGUUAGCUUACAUGUUCCCAUCAUCAACAUCUCUCUCCUGUCAGGGAUCAUCGGUAUCGCAACUUUGACUUGCCCCACUGUAUUCUAUUUAAAGACCUCUGUUUCAUUAGUCUGACUUAUCUUCUCAACUAGGUUGUAACUUUUGGGACCCUUGAUUAUAUCUCAUGAUUCUAUUGUAUUCCUCCAAAUAGUCAGCUUAACAUCUGGGAUAGUGUUGGAUACAUAGUAAGUAUACUUUUUACCAAAAAGCAAUUGAUGGGUAGAUUUUUGGUUGGUACCUAAUUGGCUUUACUGAAAUUUAAGUGAGUUAAUAUGUGUCUAUUUUUUUAAUAUCUUUACUUCUAUUCCAAACUUUUACUAAAGCCAUACUAGUUCUAAUGUCCACUAGAGACUGAGUUCAAAAAUGUGGGCAACCAAUCAAUCAAUCAAUCAAUUUAAUGGAGCCCCAAUUAAAAACUCUAGACAUUGAAGUUGAAUUUCCCAAGUUGGCAAUACUCUAUUUGUCACACAUGGAUGCUGGGAGGGUAAUGUGUCCUGAGGAUAACAGAAGCUUUGCAUUUGGAACCCUCCUGAACUCUGCCCUUUGUGAGUUUUCCUUUUGUUGCCUCUAACCCCUUUCCUGUAAUAAAUCAUGAUGAUGUAUAUAAUAGCUUUAAAGAUUAUGUGCAUCUUUCUAGUGACUGCUUGAAACUGGGGUGGUUUGGGGAAUCCCCCAAACUAGCAGUUGGUGUCAGAAGCGAGGGCCAUCUGGGAGACUGUGCCCUGAGGCUGAAGUCUGGCUCGCUCUGGUAAAGACACCCCUCAUCCUUCUCCUUCUUCAGAGUUUGAAGCAUAACUGAAAUCAUAAUGUUACAUUAUUGUAGUUUGAGAGAGACAGGGCUGACCUUUGCUUGUGUUCUGAUUUAUUUUUCCGCCUACUCUGCUGGCUUCAUUUCUACAGCCUUUCUCAGCUUCUGGUUCCUCUCUUCAUAACAUUCCUCACCUUGUACUCAGCCUUGCCCAGCUCCAGGGCUUUUGCGAGGUAGGACAGACAGGAGGAGCUGCCACUCAGCUGUCACAUUAAGGUUCUCUAAAGGUCUCUGGCCUCUUGGGACCCAGGGAUGACCCUUGACCACUCUUUUCCAAACUCCACUUCCCUUGCUCCCCAUCGCAUAUGGACUUAGUGCCACCACAGUAGGUCAUUAGGAGUCCAGGGAUGCUGGCUUUCUUUGGCAUUAAAAACUUUUUCUACGCAUUCUAAGAACUUCCUGAAGUUGCUUAGCCAGGAGUUUCAUAAACCUGAGUGAUCCUAAGGAUCACUUGGGGCUCUUGUUAAACUUUUAGGUUCUCAGCAUGUCUCAUAGAGAUUUUGAUUAUAGGUCUGGGCUUUGGUUUAGGUGUUUGUGUUAUUUUUCAUUUAAAUGCUAAGUACCCCAGCCAUUCUUAUGAUCACCACCCUUUUCCAUGAGACUGGUCUCCAGCUUCAUAUCUACGUCUAACUUUCAAGUACUAUCCUAAGCAUUUUCCUUGUCCCUGCUGAUAUCAGGAAGCAAAUGUGAACCUGUUUGUAUAUCUUUUGUGCUGGAGGAGUCACGCCCUAGUCCUGGUCCUGGGGCUGGCAUUUUUGCUACCUGGCCUUGUUAUGGCUGGCUCUCCCCUCUGGCACCAGGAUCUUUCCUGUGCCCUAUCCCAACGUCUGUAGUCUUGCCACACAUGGAUAGAUGGAUAUCUAAUAUGAUGACCAACUCCACAAACAAGUUCAUUUAAUUCAAUAAACAUUUACUGACUUGAGUUAUGUCCCAGGCACUGUGCUAGGUGCCGGCGAGAUGAAAAAAGGAAAAUACUCAUGGUUUAAAGGGUAUAACAGACACUUAAAGAAAAAGCCAUACUAUUGUGUGAUAAAUGGUUUAGCAGAAGCGUGUACAAAGUGCUAUGGAAACUCGGAUGGAGGAGUAAUUAAUUCCUCCUGGGAAGGGUCAGGAAAAGUCACGGAGAAGAGUUUACAUUUGGGAGGUGACCAGAAGUUCUCUCAGAGGUCAGGGGAAGGCAGGGUCCUUCCAGGCAGGGACCAAAGCAGAAGCAAAGCCAAGGAGAGAGAGAGUGCUUGCUCUACUCAAGCAGCUUGGACUGAGUGGUCUGAUAGACCAAGAGCAGUGUUUUUUCCAAGUGUGGUUCUCAGGCCAUCUGCACUGUAGUUCCCCUAGGAGCCUAUUAAAAAUGCAUAUUUCAAGGCCCCCAUCUCAUACCUACUGAUUUAGAAUCUCAGGGGUGGGGGCUAAGCAGUCUUAAUUCUUAAGAACCCCCCCUAGAUAAUGCUUAAAUCAAUAAAGCAGUGGUUCUCUACACUCU